rnacentral:tRNA from 1 species
GGGUGUAUAGCUCAGUGGUAGAGCAUUCGACUGCAGAUCGGGAGGUCCCCGGUUCAAAUCCGGUUCCUCCCA